UGCAUAUUGUGGCACAUGCCACACGUUCUGACCCUACAUCAUCCUUGGCAAUACGUUAGUGGACAACAAUGCAUACAGCGGUGUAAACCUUUGUUCCUUUCCUUCUUCUAAGUAAUCCUAUUCUAAUCUUGUAUUCAGACCAGACUGGCAAAAAGUCAUGCUUCUCGUACCACCAUCAUCUAUAAUUUACGCACGUCGCCUAGUAGUAGACGCAUGGCUGGUGAUACUCACAUACAUGUAGAUGGCUGGUACCUGGCUGUAGUGAGGCUGUACAUCAGUUAGCGCCUGGUCACGCAUAGGCGGACACUCAUCGACGACUUGGCUGGUAUUGUGACGUAGGCUUCGUGCCUCCAGGACUCAUUGCUCACUGUGUGAUCAACCAUGCUAGUUGCGACGUGGCGGACAGCAUCUUCAGUUCCUGGCGUUGAUGUUCGGUAUCGUGUCGGCCGCAAGUUGGUGGGCGACAGAACAGCCAAGUCCGGACUCAGCCCAGCCUGCCUAACGGAAUCGCAGUUCGCCGACGAUGCAGCUUUGUACACCACGUCGCUCCCCUUUCUCGAGACCAUGGCGAACGAGUUCAUUGAAUGUGCUUUGCAGUGGGGGUUGACGGUCAGCAUCCAGAAGACCAAGGCAAUGGUAGUGAAUCCCCACCAUCCCCCGCCGGCAUCCGUCGCUGUCGGCAGCACCCUCAGCACGUGUGGCUCCUUGGAUAAGGAGGUCACCUCCAGACCGGCCAAGACUUCCCGCUUGUUUGGUAGGCUGUAGAAGCCCAUCUUCCAGUGCCGUGGCUUAUCUCUUCACAUCAAGAGAACUGUAUAAAAGGCUGUUGUCAUGCCGACGCUGUUUUACGGGGCAGAGACCUGGGCUGUUAAGGCUACACAUCUCCGCUGUCUCAACCGCUUCCACCGGUCCUCGAUCCGGACUAUACUGGGCGUGUCCAGAUGCACUCAGCGAUCGGACCACCUCACCAGCAACGAGCUUGCCCGCAGAGCGAGGCUGCCAGCCGACAUCAAUGUGCUGCUUCGUGAGCAUUGUCUGCGCUGGCUUGGGCACGUUGCACGUAUGAGCCCGGAGCGGAUGCCUCAGCAAAUUCUCUUCGGAGAGUUGCCACCGACUCGACCACGCCAUGGACUGAAGAAGCGGUGGCGGGAUGUGCUUGUUGACGACCUGCAUGACGCGGACAUCCCUCAACAACACUGGUGACGGAAGAUCUUCAGUGACGGUCUCCCUCCCCCCGGCUCCUCUACUCACCAAGCCGUUCAGCUGCGCAUGCGGAUGGUCGUUCCGCAGAAGUGGCGACCUCAAGCGUCAUCGGCAUUUCUACUUCGCUCAUCAAGCCUAUUAUCGCCUCCGGCAAUGGGGCGUCACAAGGUCACAAGGUGUGUGUGUGUGUGCACGCGCGCGCGUGUGUGUUAGUGUGUGUGUGUGUGUGUGUGUGUGUGUGUGUGUGUGUCUUUUAAAAUGUUUUCAUAUAAUGUUUCUGCUGACAUGAUAUGGUCAGUGGCUACGACUGUGUAUUGUAUACUGAUGUACAUUCUGAUUGUGUUGUGCCAGUCUUUGUCACUUACAGUGAUGUGUAGAACAUGAUAGUGACAGUGACUGUGUGACUUGCAAUGGGAGUGCUUGCAGGCAGGCUUGGAGCUGCAAUGUUUUCUGUGCGUAUAUCAGAGCAUGGAUGCUGGCUGUUUGGGUAUGGCGGUAUGAAUGUUGGUUGUGAGUAUUGGAGCGUGAAUGUUGGAUAUACAGUGGCGUGUGCAUUGGAGCAGAAAUGAUCACUAUACAGUCUACUUGGCUAAUGACGACUGCGGAUAUAACGACAAUUCGCGAAUAGCGACAGAAUUUCCAUGCCCAGGGCAAAGCCCAAAUCACCUGUAAUACAUAAUAUAAUGAGACUUCGGGUUUAAGGACACUUCGCAAAUAACGACACUUUUCUGAUGCCCCGCCGAGUGUCGUUAUACGCAAAGUUGACUGUAUAUCCGAGCAUACUAUAUAAUGCACAGUUGUCUAAGACCAUGCUGUCUGAUGACUGCUUAUACAAUGUAUAAGCUACUUUACUAAUAAUUAUGUUAACUGGGGGCGUGGUGCUAGCAGAGCCUGAUUGUCGACUGCGCAGUUCUGGUGCAAGAAUUCUGCCUGUGUGUAAAUACCUAUAUGUACUUGUAGGAGAAUUACGGUUGACUUCA